UCUAACCAUAAGAUUUGACUUGUUUGACUAAUUGUAUUAAUUGCUAAAUUGUUUAUCUGCUCUCAACGUGUUUAAUUUGUUAUAACUGUCAUUUGCAUUCAUGGCAUCUUCCUAUUGUAUGUAUAGUAUAUUAAGGACGGUUUCUGCAUAAUCGCAGCCGGACUUCGUAUACUCAACCCUUUUUCGGAAGGAUCGGCGAUUUAUUGGUACGUCAUGCGUCCAAUGGUUGUCGUGAAUUCCAGCCUAAGUUGUCCACUUGGGUUCCCGGUCUCUCAAAAGCCACUCUUAGUCAACUAGCGUAGAGCGAAACCAAAUCCCAAUUUUUAGCGCAUUUUGAACUA
rnacentral:lncRNA from 1 species